rnacentral:rRNA from 1 species
CCUACGGGAGGCAGCAGUGGGGAAUAUUGGACAAUGGGCGAAAGCCUGAUCCAGCAAUGCCGCGUGAGUGAUGAAGGCCUUCGGGUCGUAAAGCUCUUUUACCAGGGAUGAUAAUGACAGUACCUGGAGAAUAAGCUCCGGCUAACUCCGUGCCAGCAGCCGCGGUAAUACGGAGGGAGCUAGCGUUGUUCGGAAUUACUGGGCGUAAAGAGUACGUAGGCGGUUAUUCAAGUCAGAGGUGAAAGCCCGGGGCUCAACCCCGGAACUGCCUUUGAAACUAGAUAACUAGAGUCUUGGAGAGGUUAGUGGAAUUCCGAGUGUAGAGGUGAAAUUCGUAGAUAUUCGGAAGAACACCAGUGGCGAAGGCGACUAACUGGACAAGUACUGACGCUGAGGUACGAAAGCGUGGGGAGCAAACAGGAUUAGAUACCCUGGUAGUCCACGCCGUAAACGAUGAUAACUAGUUGUUCGGUCACUUGGUGACUGAGUGACGCAGCUAACGCAUUAAGUUAUCCGCCUGGGGAUACGGUCGCAAGAUUAAAACUCAAAGGAAUUGACGGCUGAGACGCGACGAGACACAGGAGUAG